UAAGGUUGCGGGGAGACGAAGCUCUUUUCGUUUGUAUAUUUUAUUUACGUGACCAUAUUUUUGUUUUAUGUUAAAAAAAAGAAUCAAAUAACCAGUUAUCUUGUUUUGGGGAACCAGUUUUUGUCGUUCACCUUCGGGAUUCGUUCGUUGUGAACGAAUCGGUCGCGACCGACUAAUCCUUAAUGGCCACCAUUGAACGAGCAAUGGGCGUGUCUGGCAGAGCAAUGGGCGUGUUUGGCAAGUGGCUCCGGCUGCAGAUAGACCCUACUCAUCCUGGGGGCCUGUUCGAUCCACACUUCACGAUUAGCCCGUUUUGAGUACGGCAUCCAGGUCCUUGAAGUAUACUUAUUUUCGCCGGAUCUGAAUUGGAACGUACUGCGUACUCAAAUGUUGGCUAGUAAGUACGGACAGUACGGGUAUUGGAACACGGCAGAAGGGGCGGGACUUCGCCCAAGUUUUCCCGCUUCUUCUCAGUUUGGGGCCGAAUCAACUGAACAAUAGAAUCUCGGAUCUCCAUUUUUGUGCCAUUCAAGUGCAUGUGACGAUUGAUCUGGACUCAAGCUGUAGGCCUACCAGUCAGAUGAGUAACUCAGUGGAGGAGGAGGACUUUGCGGAUAUCAGGGCCUACUUUUCCACAACAAAAUGGAACCGCCUCUGUAUGGCGGAGAAAAAAAGAUUCCUGCAGAUCAAGGAAAACCAUUUGGUUAUGUCGUCUCUUGGUAAACCACUCGUACUUAAAUACUAUUUUACUGAGUACAUUGCUAUACAUACAGACACAGGUGGUGCUGCUGUACACAUCACUGCUUCUUUCGUGUGUGUGUGUGUGUGUGUGUGUGUGUGUGUGUGUGUGUGUGUGUGUGUGUGUGUGUGUGUGUGUGUGUGUGUGUGUGUGUGUGUGUGUGUGUGUGUGUGUGUCAGGCCUGUCCUUUGUGGCUCCAGCCUUCAUGAGGAGAGAGAUGCCCGGCCAGGUGAGAGUCUGCUCACCUGAAGAGACAGACUCUGAGGAGGAGCAGCUCUGGACCUCUGGAUUGACCGGUACAAAGACAUUUACAAAACAUUUCUGGAAGGGGUAAUGUGCAGUGAACAUUAUCCCUUUCAAAGCCCUGAAGAUACAUUAGC
rnacentral:lncRNA from 1 species